rnacentral:lncRNA from 1 species
AGGCAGUCCUGGAUGAGGGGUGGAGUAGAUAAUUCUAGGUCGGAAGGAGCAGAGCUUCCCUAGGGCUCUUCUUGGCCUUCUGUCGUUGCAUGUAUACAUUUUCCCUUUUGUUGUUUUGUUUUGCUUUUGUUGUUUUGCUUUCCUUCCUUUGGCCUUCUGGGCUUCGUGAUGUAUAUUUCGCAAAUGGAAUGAAAAGAGGAUUUUGUGUUACCUCAUCCGCAUAUUGC